GACGAACGCUGGCGGCGCGCUUAACACAUGCAAGUCGAACGGAAAGGCCCUGCUUUUGUGGGGUGCUCGAGUGGCGAACGGGUGAGUAACACGUGAGUAACCUGCCCUUGACUUUGGGAUAACUUCAGGAAACUGGGGCUAAUACCGGAUAGGAGCUCCUGCUGCAUGGUGGGGGUUGGAAAGUUUCGGCGGUUGGGGAUGGACUCGCGGCUUAUCAGCUUGUUGGUGGGGUAGUGGCUUACCAAGGCUUUGACGGGUAGCCGGCCUGAGAGGGUGACCGGCCACAUUGGGACUGAGAUACGGCCCAGACUCCUACGGGAGGCAGCAGUGGGGAAUAUUGCACAAUGGGCGGAAGCCUGAUGCAGCAACGCCGCGUGCGGGAUGACGGCCUUCGGGUUGUAAACCGCCUUCGCCUGUGACGAAGCGUGAGUGACGGUAAUGGGUAAAGAAGCACCGGCUAACUACGUG
rnacentral:rRNA from 1 species